AAUACACGUGUCACUGCAGUCAAUAUCGCUUGACGUAUAUGAUAUAGUUACAUUUCAUUGGUUAAUUAGACCUCGUAUUAAACAAUGGACUGGAUAAGAUAAAAAGGAAGCGGCCUCGGAUGUCACAAUAAAGUCAUCAUUUUAUAGUACUGAACACUGCGUUCGACAACGUUAUUAAUUAUACACAGAAGCUGUAGUUGUUUGGAAAGACAAAGCCAUAUACUCUCCAUCAUGCGUCCGUUUGUUUUGCUGUUCGGCAUUGCAAUCGCAGUGUUCCUCCUGACUGAUAUCUGCACUGCAUUACCGGAACCAAUGGAGCACCCAGACUUCUGCAAGGGUAUGCGACCCCCGGCCUGUUCCAGAAAUC